AUCCUUUCUUGCUCACAAAAUCUUCAAACCAUCAGCCAAUUAAGAACCUUAAACUUUCCAAUAAUCACACUUAGUGUCUAAAACACUUCCCCUACCAAAGAUAAACCAAGAAUGGAUCAGGCCAAAGCCAAUUACAAUGCUGGUGAGGCCAAGGGCCAAAUUCAGGAGAAGGCUAGCCAGACAAUGGAUAGCAUCAAGGACACUGCUCAAUCCGCCAGUCAGUCCAUCCAGCAGGGUGGUCAGCAGAUGGCUGCUAAGGCACAGGGAGCUGCUGAUGCUAUCAAGGAUUCCACUGGAAUGAACAAGUGAAUCUAGUGCAGCAACAAUUAGAAUUUCUUGUUUCUUUCAUGAUCAUAGUUGUCUGUCUCAGGGCGGGCUAAUACGCUUCUACGUGUAAUAAUAGACAAUUUAGUCAUUUUUUAUAUGAUUAAUGAAUGAUUCCAACAAUUAUGGUACAUUUGAUUACCGCUUGAAAACCCACAGAGUCGUUGAUCUUUCAAUUGUGAUUAGGAAGAGAUGGUGGUUUUUCUUUUUGUAAUAAAAGAAAAGUGGGUGUUAAGUGCUAAUGAACACAUUGAUUAGCUGCAAAGAUGUAAGAAAUCAAAGCAAAAGUGGAGUAAAAGCAGGUGACUUUAAAGGACAUGCUUUUCUGAGUGCAGACAUGAAGAAAAGUGGAAAACAUAUCAUAAAAGUCGACCUGCCGAUCAACUUUCUCAUAGAAAAAAGGCUUUCUUGAUCAGAUUAAUACAAAGAAAAAUGUAGAAACCUGAUAAUUGUUGACAUGCUCAUCUAGAAUGUUUAUUCAUUUGAUGUCCGUUUUUCAAUGUGAGAGAAGUGUAGAAUACUAGAGAGAGUUAGAGAUGUAUGCAACAAGACCGCGUUCGCUCUACCGCAAGUUUCCUGGUGCAGUCUCUGCGCGGCCACAGCCGGAUUCUCAGUAUUCAGGGCAUCUGGUAAUUUCAGAUGAAGAAUCGGAGGUGAUGGAUUCCUUUUGCUGUGGGAUGUGGAAGAAUGACAGAAUCAAAAGGCUGCCAUUCCCUUCGGACAAGAUCUUGCAGGUGGUGCACCCAUCAUUGCACGAGGAGGCGGCUACUGUUACAAAGGUGUGGUUCGUGCCUGUUCUUGACCAGCCUCUUUCGUCCAAUCGCUACUAUAUUAUCAAAGCUAAGGGAAGACGAAAAGGUUCAGACAUUACUUUCAACAUUUUGAUCACUUCUACAGACAAGCAUACACAUGUUCCAGGGAGGGAGACUCGGGAAUGUGUUGCUUCAAAAGUACUCGUGUGGAUCCAAAAAUCAGGCCUUUCGACUACAGAGACAGAUACCAACAGUUUGAGAUUCGUCCAUAUCAUGGCGGUGGAUUCUUUGCCAAAUCAGUAGAAUGGGAUGGUUAUCCUCCAAGUUUCCUCAGACAAGGCGGAUGGCAAGUCUACGCCACUCCUUCGUUUAAACUCCAUCUA